rnacentral:rRNA from 1 species
GAUGAACGCUGGCGGCGUGCCUAAUACAUGCAAGUCGAGCGAACGGACGAGAAGCUUGCUUCUCUGAUGUUAGCGGCGGACGGGUGAGUAACACGUGGAUAACCUACCUAUAAGACUGGGAUAACUUCGGGAAACCGGAGCUAAUACCGGAUAAUAUUUUGAACCGCAUGGUUCAAAAGUGAAAGACGGUCUUGCUGUCACUUAUAGAUGGAUCCGCGCUGCAUUAGCUAGUUGGUAAGGUAACGGCUUACCAAGGCAACGAUGCAUAGCCGACCUGAGAGGGAGGCCGCACACCUGGGAAGAGAGACAGGGCCGCCACACCGGGGGGGGGAAGCAGAACGGAAUCUUCCGCAAGGGGGAAGUGCGGAAGGGAGCACGACGGGGGGAGGGAUGAAGGUGUACGGACGGGAAAGUUCUGUAAUUCGGAAAGAACAAAUGUGAAAUUACCUGGGAAGAUAAUGACGGUACCGAAAGAAAAAGCCCCGGCUAACUACGUG